UACCAGCGGCCCUAGUGGUGAUUGUUUUUAUUGGGCCUAAAGCGUCCGUAGCCGGUUCGGUAAAUCUCUGGGUAAAUCGUUGGGCUUAACUCAACGAAUUCUGGGGAGACUGCCGAACUUGGGACCGGGAGAGGUCGGAGGUACUCCAGGGGUAGGGGUGAAAUCCUGUAAUCCUUGGGGGACCACCGGUGGCGAAAGCGUCCGACCAGAACGGGUCCGACGGUAAGGGACGAAGCCCUGGGUCGCGAACCGGAUUAGAUACCCGGGUAGUCCAGGGUGUAAACGCUGUGCGCUUGGUGUAGGGGGUCCCACGAGGGCAUCCUGUGCCGGAGAGAAGUUGUUAAGCGCACCGCCUGGGGAGUACGGUCGCAAGACUAGAAACUUAAAGGAAUUGGGCGGGGGAGCACAGCAACGGGAGGAGCGUGCGGUUU
rnacentral:rRNA from 1 species